ensembl:lncRNA
GGCUCAAAUUGCUUAUGGAAUAAACAAAGAAGAACUGGGAGAGUAGCUGUCUUAAGGUGAAGCCUGGAGUGUGAAACAAGAAUGGUGCAUAGAGGGGUACAUCUUGGUGCCUUGAUGAUCAGCAGGGCACCUGGCGGGACUGUACAAUGAACCCCUGCUCGCCUCUGCCCUUUGCCAUCUAAGCUGCAGUGCUGCUGGGAGAGAACUACAGCAUGUGUAGAGUACUGCCAUUCGCAUUUCAUUGUGGAGAUGGCUAAAUGGGACACCAAAGUCCGUAGCCGGGAAAGCUCUCCUCUGUCCCUAAAAGAACUCUGUCAAAAGGGACUUCUCAAGCUCUGUUGUGUGCAGCUGCCCAAGACUCCCACUGUGUCUGCAUUCAUGGGUUUCAAGAGAAGCGGACAAUUUCCAAGCCAAAGGAAACUUUGCUUCUGCUUUAAACUUCACAGCUGGCUGUGCUAACAAGCCCGUGUUCAAAGCAUAAAUAAGCACCUACUUGAAGAGUGUAUGUGUGGAUGGUAACAGAAAAAGAGGAAAGCAAAAUGUAGGUUCAGAGCUAAGCCAAUGUGAAACUCAAUGUGAACAUUUGUUUUUUUUGACUCCUGACAGAGUUUGUGCAGAUAGAAGUCAGUCAAGUAAUAAACCCUUCCAAGGAAACUGUACACUAAAUAUCAUCCUUUGCUUGCAAUUGCUUGUACAAUUUACUGAGAGUAACAAAGAAUUUGGCCACUUUAAGUGGCAACAGUAGAUUAUAUAUGUUCA